rnacentral:lncRNA from 10 species
CAUCUACAUAAUAGUCUCCAGUCUGUGACUUAGAAUUUCACCUCCUCUGGAUACUUCCCUCAGUGUUUCUGCAUAAUUUACUUGUUGACCUCAUUACAUCUUGUAGCACUAUGGAUCACCCACUGAAUGCAUGAGAAGAAAUAAAGGGGAUAUCAAGGAGUUUUGGCCUCAAGACGUACAGACUGAGGAGGAAAAGCCAACAAAGUGAGAUGAUGGUUGUGACGGGGGUACUGCAGGUGCUGAGAGAUCAAGAACACAAACUCAAACCUAGUGAAGGAAUUCACAGAAGGCCUCCCCAAGGAAGUGAUGUUUCAAGUAAAUCACAAAAUGGUUAGCAGGGACUAGCCAAAAAGGAAGGGAAAGAGAAUUGCUUGAACCUGGGAGGCAGAGGUUGCAGUGAGCCAAGAUCGUGCCACAGAACUCCAGUCUGGGCAACGGAGCGAGACCGCGUCUCAAAAAAAAGAAAAUAGUUUAGCAGUGGCUUUGUGGAGAAGUGAGCUUUGAACUGGACUUUGAAGGGAGAAGAUGAGGGAGAAAGGCAUUAAAGACAUUUCAGGCUUAAGGAAUAAAGGGCAAAGAAAUAUAAAGGUACAUUAUGCUAUGCUCAGAGUACAUUAGGUGGCUGGUAUGGUAUUAGGACUUAAGAUUCUUGGGGUAUGAUAGUUGCAGGUAAGACCAGAUGAGUAUUUUGGGACC